rnacentral:rRNA from 1 species
GACGAACCGUGCAAACGUUGUUCGGAAUCACUGGGCGUAAAGGGCGCGUAGGCGGUCAGACUAAGUCUAAUGUGAAAUACCAAGGCUUAACCUUGGCAGGUCGUUAGAUACUGGUCGGCUAGAGUGUGGAAGGGGUUGCUGGAAUUCUUGGUGUAGCGGUGAAAUGCGUAGAUAUCAAGAGGAACACCAGAGGCGAAGGCGGGCAACUGGGCCAACACUGACGCUGAGGCGCGAAAGCUAGGGGAGCAAACAGG